UCUUAGCCCCGAUUGCAGUGAAAAUCCUUUUUUUGAAGAAAAAAGAUUGCAACGGAAAGCGGGAAAUAGC
rfam:Chryseobacterium sp. Hurlburt 01 HurlbutContig25, whole genome shotgun sequence.